UAUCGAACGCUUCGAGGAGCCUUUAAUAGGCGGCGUCUCUUCUUUCCCGAAGAGCCUCAUUAUUGGGACACCUUUUGCGAAGCGUCCUCGCGUCGUGGGCUCAUGAUGGGGCCGCACGAUCUUCGAUUGCAGAUGCCUUUCCGCACGAUCCGAUGGGGCGCUUCGACAUUCGAAGCGCCAACCCUAAUUAAAUGCGUCGUUCUGUCUUUUAGGCCGACACGUGUUAUCAUCUAACCAGGACGCAGCGCUUUCUUCGCUGAUCCGGGCCGUCGGGGAGGUCUAUAUAAACUCUCCCCCGGCCCCCUGUCCUCUUUCUAUUGCCUUCUGCUUCCAGCUUCCUAUUCUCCCAGCCUUCCUCAGACCGAAGUCC
rnacentral:lncRNA from 1 species